rnacentral:rRNA from 1 species
GAUGAACGCUAGCGGCAGGCCUAACACAUGCAAGUCGAGGGAGAAGCCCUUUCGGGGGCAGAAACCGGCGCACGGGCGCGUAACGCGUAUGCAACCUACCUUUCACAGGGGGAUAGCCCGAAGAAAUUUGGAUUAAUACCCCAUAAUAUUAUUGGAUGGCAUCAUUUGAUAAUUAAAACUGCGGUGGUGAAAGAUGGGCAUGCGUCCUAUUAGCUAGUUGGAGUGGUAACGGCACCCCAAGGCUACGAUAGGUAGGGGUCCUGAGAGGGAGAUCCCCCACACUGGUACUGAGACAGGGACCAGACUCCUACGGGAGGCAGCAGUGAGGAAUAUUGGUCAAUGGUCGGAAGACUGAACCAGCCAUGCCGCGUGCAGGAAGAAUGCCUUAUGGGUUGUAAACUGCUUUUAUAUGGGAAGAAUAAGGCGUACGUGUACGUUGAUGACGGUACCAUAUGAAUAAGCAUCGGCUAACUCCGUG